rnacentral:lncRNA from 1 species
GAGAAAAAUUUAAAAAAUCGUAGGUUUCCUUAUCUCUCCCCCCGCCAAGGAGAAAAAUUGGAAUUCCGUCUCAAAAGCAGCAGAGCCGAGAAUGAAAUUCCUCCCUUCCUUCUUUUUUUCCUAGAGCACCCCCCCUCCCCCGCGAGCAGGACCGAGAUGGGAUCCUUACAAGACACCUGACACCGUCCUACCCGGAGAAAAGUCUCCCCGAGAGAAAGAUCAAGACGUUUCUAUCCCCCACACGCCUGGAUGACAACCGAAGCCUUGGCUCUCCAUGCUGGCUCAUGCCCAAAGGACACAACAAGUAGGAUUGCACAUUGUCUGUUUGUGUUUGGACGGAAGACCUGAGGCUAAAGAGACAGUGUGGAAACUUGACCCUCAAUCAAAUUCCUCUCUCACUUUUUGUGCCUGUAAAAUGGGACUAGAUUUAUGCGGAUGCUACCCAGACAAUAUGCACAUACGUAUGUGUUCUGUGCCGUCAAGUCAGAACUGACUUAUAGUGAUCCUUUCAAGGUAAGUGAAAUAUUUAAGGAGCGGUUUUACUAGUUUCACUCCCACAGUAAUUUCUCCAUAAUUCAUCACUACAACAUCCUCAGAUGUGACAAGAAACAAGAAACAACUGCAUCCACCUGCUUUUCCUAACAACCCCUUCCUCCUCUUGCCACUCCACCUGCUGAAAAUGAGGCAGUACUAUAUGGUCCUAUGGAUCUCUGUUACGGAUGAUGCUCUAGGUUCCAGAGUAUCAUCCUACUGUGACUCAGUGAGGAAGAGUUUCAGUAUGCCAUUGUGCCCAUUCUUUUUAACCCUUGUUUUUACUAGGAUGAACCAGAGAGGGACUCUACUAUAUCUUGUGCAUUAAAAGUAUUGAUAUCUCAUAUAAAGAGAUUCUCUUCUUUUUAGAAAGCAAAGAGAGCCGCUGUCCAGGCCAACUGGCAGCCAGAUGUUACACCUGUUUAUUCUGAAGGAAGUUCAAUGAAUGUACAGUGGGGUCUCGACUUGAGAACUUAAUCCGUAUUGGAAGGCGGUUCUCAAGUCAAAAAGUCUGUAAGUCAAGUCUCCAUUGACCUACAGUGCAUUGAAAACCGAUUAAUCCCGUAACAGUCUGUUUUUGUUCCAUGUUGGUUUUUUUCUGGUCUGUAAGUCAAAUCUCAGUCUGCAAGUCAAACCUAAAUUUUGCGGCCAGAGAAGUCUGUAACUCAAAAAGUCUGUAAGUCAAGCCGUCUGUAAGUCAAGGGUCCACUGUAAUUGGAAUUUACUCAGGUAAGCAUGCCUAAGAGCAUUCUCCAAUGGAAAGGGAGUUGAAAGGAUUUCCCAAUGCGGACAGAGUAUUAAUCCUUUCUCCAAAGCAAUGAUUGAAAUAUCUGCCUCAGCUCUUCCUCAAUCCUACCAGCUGACAUUGGGCAACUUUUCAUUAAUUGCAAACUUACCGUAGGAAGAACUCUGACUCAGGAAAUCUGCUUAUAUAAACUGUUUCUUCAGGUUAAAACAAGACU